GCCCCCGUAGCUCAGCCCGGAUAGAGCAGCGGGUUUCUAACCCGUUGGUCGUAGGUUCAAAUCCUGCCGGGGGUACCA
rnacentral:tRNA from 2 species